rnacentral:rRNA from 1 species
UACGUAGGUGGCAAGCGUUGUCCGGAUUUACUGGGUGUAAAGGGCGUGCAGCCGGAGAGACAAGUCAGAUGUGAAAUCCACGGGCUCAACCCGUGAACUGCAUUUGAAACUGUUUCCCUUGAGUGUCGGAGAGGUAAUCGGAAUUCCUUGUGUAGCGGUGAAAUGCGUAGGUAUAAGGAAGAACACCAGUGGCGAAGGCGGAUUACUGGACGAUAACUGACGGUGAGGCGCGAAAGCGUGGGGAGCAAACAGG